rnacentral:rRNA from 1 species
AGAGUUUGAUCCUGGCUCAGAACGAACGCUGGCGGCGUGGAUAAGACAUGCAAGUCGAACGGGAUUUUCUUUGGUAGCAAUACCGAAGAAAGUCUAGUGGCGAACGGGUGCGUAACACGUGGGCAAUCUGCCUUAAAGUGGGGGAUAGCUCGGCGAAAGCCGGAUUAAUACCGCAUGUGAUUACCGGAGAAUUCUUCGGAACAUCAAAGUCGGGGCAACCUGACGCUUUUUGAGGAGCCCGCGGCCUAUCAGCUAGUUGGUGAGGUAACGGCCCACCAAGGCUUUGACGGGUAGCUGGUCUGAGAGGACGACCGGUCACACUGGAACUGAGACACGGUCCAGACACCUACGGGUGGCAGCAGUCGAGAAUUUUUCUCAAUGGGGGAAACCCUGAAGGAGCGACGCCGCGUGGAGGAUGAAGGUCUUCGGGUUGUAAACUCCUGUCAUUUGGGAACAAUGCUUACGUAUUAACUGUACGUGAGUUGAUAGUACCAGAAGAGGAAGAGACGGCUAACUCUGUGCCAGCAGCCGCGGUAAUAC